UUGCAGUUAAAAAGCUCGUAGUCGGAUGUCGGGGUCGGGAGGACUGUUGGCCUCUGGUCGAACGGUAAGCUCGGCCCUUUUUGCCUGGGGACUCUGUCACACUUAACUGUGGGGCGGAUGGACGCAGGCCGUUUACUUUGAAAAAAUCAGAUCGUUCAAAGAAGGCUUUUGCUCGAAUAUGUUAGCAUGGAAUAAUGGAAUAGGACUUUGGUGCUAUUUUGUUGGUUUAUGGGACCGAAGUAAUGAUUAAUAGGGACAGUUGGGGCCGUUUAUAUUUCGUUGUCAGAGGUGAAAUUCUU
rnacentral:rRNA from 1 species